rnacentral:rRNA from 1 species
GACGAACCGUGCGAACGUUGUUCGGAAUCACUGGGCUUAAAGGGCGCGUAGGCGGACACUCAAGUCGGUGGUGAAAUCCUCCGGCCUAACCGGAGAAGAGCUGUCGAUACUGGGUGUCUCGAGUGGUGUAGGGGUCUGUGGAACUGCGGGUGGAGCGGUGAAAUGCGUAGAGAUCCGCAGGAACGCCGGUGGCGAAAGCGACGGACUGGACACCUUCUGACGCUGAGGCGCGAAAGCCAGGGGAGCAAACGGG